UCGAGUGCAUGAAGCUGGAAUCGCUAGUAAUCGCGGAUCAGAAUGCCGCGGUGAAUACGUUCCCGGGCCUUGUACACACCGCCCGUCACACCAUGAGAGCUGGGAACACCCGAAGCCCGUAGCCUAACCUGCAAAGGAGGGCGCGGUCGAAGGUGGGCUUAGUAAUUGGGGUGAAGUCGUAACAAGGUAGC
rnacentral:rRNA from 1 species